ensembl:lncRNA
UCCUCCCAGAGUAAAAAAGCCAUUUGCGCAUUUUACCUGUUUUGACAAACAGCAGGACAUAUUAAUAAUGGUAAAUGGACAGUACUUGUAUAGCGCUUUUCUAGUCUUCUGACCACUCAAAGCGCUUUAACACUGCAUGACAUCAUUCACCCAUUCACACCUAUUCAUACACUGAUGACAGGAGAACCAUACACACGACACCUGCACAUCAAUAACUAACAUUCACGCACUGUAGUCACAGUUACAGGAGCAAUGUUGGGUUAAGUGUCUUGCCCAAGACACAUCAAAAUGAGGGUUAGCAGAGCCUGGGAUCGAACCGAGUGUUAAUUAUGAUAUGUCCUUUGCAUGAAUCCCAGAAUUGUAUUUAACUUCACCCAGCAUUUGGGUAGAAUAUAUAACAACUAUAUGUAGUUGAAACAACUCAGAAUUGUAGUUAAUUUGACCCAGCAUUUGGGUAGAAUAUAUAACAACUAUAUGUAGCUGAAACAACUCAGAAUUGUAGUUAAUUUGACCCAGCAUUUGGGUAGAAUAUAUAACAACUAUAUGUAGCUGAAACAACUCAGAAUUGUAGUUAAUUUGACCCAGCAUUUGGGUAGAAUAUUUAACUCAUGUUGGGUUAAAAUGGCCAACCCAUAGUGCUGGGUCAAAUUAACUACUGCUAGGUUGGUGCAAUGGUGACCCAGCGGUUGAGUUAUAAAACAACCCAAAUUGGGUUAUUUUUAACCCAACCUUUUUUAGUGUGUAGUUAAGCUGCUAUAGGCUUAGGCUGCCGGGGGACUUCUUAGGACACACAGUGCUCCUCUCUCACUCUCACUCUAUCCUUCUACAAUAACCCAGGUUUUAUUAAUGCAUAUCACUAAUUCAGCUUCUUCCCCCAAGUUUGUUGUGCUUUUCUCGCAGGUCUUCGUAGAUCGUGGUUCCGUCUGGACCCUGGUCCUAACUCCUGCCUGGUUUCCAUGGAUCAUGGUUCAAUCUGGACCCUGUUACUGCCUCUUGUCGUGGCCCUGCUGAUACCUUCUACUGCCAUCAUCAUCAUUAUUACUAUUUGAAAUAUUAAUCACAUUACUAUUACCGUCAUCAUAAACCAACAUUACCCUUUCCUAAAGUCUUUGUGCUUUCCCUCCCCACAGGCUUCUGUGGAUGGUGGUUCUAUGGGAUGAUGGUUCUAUCUGAUGGUGGUUGUCCCUGCAGUGGUCCUGCCGUACACCUACUUACUACGCGCAAUUAUUAGAAUCAUUUCUGUGUAGGAAUUGAAUGUAUUGUAGAUCUUUUACAUUGUUCAUUCUGUACACUUGACAUCCAUUGUAGUCUGUCCAUCCCGGGAGAGGGAUCCUCCUCUGACGUUCUCACUAAGGUUUCUUCACCUUUAUCCCCAUGGAAGGGUUUUCAUUUUUGGGGGAGUUUUUCCUGUGCCAAUGUGAGGGUUUCGGGACAGAGGAUGUUGCAUAUGUACAGACUGUGAAGCCCUCUGAUGCAAAUUAGUGAUUUGUGAUUUUGGGCUAAACAAAAUAAAAUGAAUUGGAUUGAAAAAACGUGAUAAUAGUGUAAGAUUUUAGUUCCGGUGUAGGUGCUUUUAUUGUGAAGGGGGAGAUGGAAGGAGAGGAAAGAGAAGAAGUGUUCAGCUGGGGGUUUAUUUUUUGGAGUGGAAAUAAAGUUGCUGCCAGUUUGUCGAGGAAACG